rnacentral:rRNA from 1 species
UCUCGAAGAUUAAGCCAUGCAUGUCUAAGUACAUGCCUAACUAAGGCGAAACCGCGAAUGGCUCAUUAAAACAGUCAUGAUCUAUUUGAUGUUGAUUGUCUACAUGGAUAACUGUGGUAAUUCUAGAGCUAAUACAUGCACAAAAGCCGCGACUUUUAACUAAGAAGCGGUGCGUUUAUUAGACCAAGACCAAUGGGUGCUUGCACCCUCAAAAUAUGGUGACUCUGGAUAACUAAUGGCGUAAAAACCAUGAUGCUGACCCUAUGGCCCGUGGGCAACCACACAGCGCCGAGGGCAAAUCAUUCGAGUGUCUGAUCUAUCAACUGUCGAUGGUAAAUUAUAUGUUUACCAUGGUUGUAACGGGUAACGGGGAGUUAGGGCUCGACUCCGGAGAGCAAGCCUGAGAAACGGCUAGCACAUCCAAGGAAGGCAGCAGGCGCGCAAAUUACUCAAUGCCGGCUAGGCGAAGUAGUGAAGAAAAAUAACGAUGUAGGUACUUUUUAUAGGAUCUACAAUUGGAAUGAGUACACCGUAAAUACGUUAACGAGUACCAAUUGGAGGGCAAGUCUGGUGCCAGCAGCCGCGGUAAUUCCAGCUCCAAUAGCGUAUAUUAAAGUUGCUGCGGUUAAAAAGCUCGUAGUUGGAUUUCAGACCUUUUGUCAGCGAAGCUGCACUAUUCAACGGCUAUAGGUUUGGGCCGCUUCGGUGGUCUCCAGAUCAUAGUCGGGUGUUUAGCUAUUUGCUGACUGGUCGUUUCGUCGCUUUUUAACAGGACGAAGCAGGCUGUAUCAUUGGCUAGUAUUGUCUCGACAUUACGCUACAAUGGUCAGCGUGUUUACCUUGAGAAAAUUAGAGUGCUCAAAGCAGACAUGGCGGGUCGCAAGGCUUGCAUUUAUGUUUGAAUAAUGUUGCAUGGAAUAAUAGAAUAUGGCCUCGGUUCUAUUCUGUUGGUCUUGUAGAACAACAAACAAGUUCACAUGUUCAAUUCAUGUUGCUAGCUUGGUGGAUUAUUGUCUCGGCGCUUUUGGUUCUUAUGGUGCUUGUGUCAUCGUGCUCAUUGGGUACGCAUCGCGGUGCCGUUUGGAUCGUUGAAUCGUCGUGGACGUAGUCCCUCGAAAAGCUAAGCUAGCCAACACGAACAUGUGAAUCGAGGCAAUGGUUAAUAGGGACAGACGGGGGCAUUCGUACUGCUUCGCUAGAGGUGAAAUUCUUAGACCGAAGCAAGACGAACUAAAGCGAAAGCAUUUGCCUAGAAUGUUCUCAUUAAUCAAGAACGAAAGUUAGAGGUUCGAAGGCGAUCAGAUACCGCCCUAGUUCUAACCAUAAACGAUGCCAACUAGCAAUCAGGCUGAGUUUUUUAAAAUACAAAUGACUCGCCUGGCGGCUUCGCGGGAAACCAAAGUUUUUCGGUUCCGGGGGAAGUAUGAUUGCAAAGUUGAAACUUAAAGGAAUUGACGGAAGGGCACCACCAGGGGUGGAGCCUGCGGCUUAAUUUGACUCAACACGGGGAAACUUACUAGAUUAGAACGCUGGAAUGAUUGACAGAUUAAUAGCUCUUUCUUGAUUCAGCGAGUGGUGGUGCAUGGCCGUUCUUGAUUCGUAGAAUGAUUCGUCUGCUUAAUUGCGAUAACGAGUGAGACCUCGACCUACUAACUAGUUUGGUUCAUCAUUUGGGAUAUAAAACGCUCUGCGUGUUCGCCUGGUCGGUGUGCAGCAAUGUAUCAUUGGCUAGCGCGGCGCGUAGAGUAGGCCCUCUGCUGGACCAAGACUUCUUAGCGGGAUAAACGGUGUUUUAGCCGUAAUAAAUGAGGCAAUAACAGGUCUGUGAUGCCCUUAGAUACUCUAGGCCGCACGCGUGCUACACUGGUAGAGGCAGCAUGUUUAAUUUAAACAAUUGCUUCGGAAUUCUGCCAGUCUUCGCGUAAUUGUGAGGGUUCGCCUGAUCAGUUGCGUUGUUGGUUGGCGUGAGCCGAGGAUGUAUUGUUUGAAAAAACCUUGGCUGAAAAGCCUGGGCAAUCCUUUGAAACUCUACCGUGAUUUGGGAUUGGGAAUUGCAAUUGUUUUCCAUGAACGAGGAAUCCCCAGUAAGCGCAAUUCAUCAUAUUGCGUUGAUUACGUCCCUGCCCUUUGUACACACCGCCCGUCGCUACUACCGAUUGAAUGAUUUAGUGAGGUCUUUGGACUGGCUUGCACGAUGAUUGGCCUCGGUCAUAUUAUUGUGCAAAGCUGGGAAGAUGAUCAAACUUGAUCAUUUAGAGGAAGUAAAAGUCGUAA